ACUUACCUGGCCAAUUUAGUCUUGUUGAAUUUCAGACUUAGAUUGAUUAAGUGAUGUAGAUAUUACAAGGGCCUUCUUUCAAACUUGGUCGAUAAAGUAUGUCAAGAUCUUAGUAAGCUUAUUGUGCUAUCCACAAAGCUUACUAUAGAAAUUGACAUGAUGUUGAUCAAGUGCAUAUUUAUGCUUAUGGUAUAUUUGAAUAGUGUUGCUUUGUUAUGCUAUCCAUAAGGACAGCAUUGUUUAAGUAUGACCAUAUAGAUUGAAGGAUCAACUUAACUAGAAUACUAUAGUUUGUUGUGUUAUUCACAAGACUAUAUAUGAUCUAAAG
rnacentral:lncRNA from 1 species